rnacentral:rRNA from 1 species
AACGAACGCUGGCGGCAGGCUUAACACAUGCAAGUCGAACGCAUGCCUUCGGGCAUGAGUGGCAGACGGGUGAGUAACGCGUGGGAACCUACCCCUUGGUACGGGAUAGCUCCGGGAAACUGGAGAUAAUACCGUAUGUGUCCUGAGGGACAAAGAUUCAUCGCCAAGGGAUGGGCCCGCGUCGGAUUAGCUAGUUGGUGGGGUAACGGCCUACCAAGGCGACGAUCCGUAGCUGGUCUAAGAGGAUGAUCAGCCACAUUGGGACUGAGACACGGCCCAAACUCCUACGGCAGGCAGCAGUGGGGAAUAUUGGACAAUGGGCGCAAGCCUGAUCCAGCCAUGCCGCGUGAGUGAUGAAGGCCCUAGGGUUGUAAAGCUCUUUCACCGGUGACGAUAAUGACGGUAACCGGAGAAGAAGCCCCGGCUAACUUCGUG